rnacentral:rRNA from 1 species
ACUACGGGUGGCAGCAGUGGGGAAUUUUGGACAAUGGGCGCAAGCCUGAUCCAGCUAUUCCGCGUGUGGGAUGAAGGCCCUCGGGUUGUAAACCACUUUUGUAGAGGACGAAAAGACACCUUCGAAUCAAGGGUGUUGCUGACGGUACCCUAAGAAUAAGCACCGGCUAACUACGUGCCAGCCGCCGCGGUAAUACGGAGGAUGCGAGCGUUAUCCGGAUUUAUUGGGAUUAAAGGGUGCGCAGGCGGAAGCUCAAGUCAGCGGUAAAAUUGAGCGGCUAAACCUCUUCGAGCCGGUGAAACUGGUUUUCUUGAGUGAGCGAGAAGUAUGCGGAAUGCGUGGUGUAGCGGUGAAAUGCAGAGAUAUCACGCAGAACUCCGAUUGCGAAGGCAGCAUACCGGCGCUCAACUGACGCUCAUGCACGAAAGUGUGGGUAUCGAACAGGAUUAGAUACCCGAGUAGUC